rnacentral:rRNA from 1 species
CGGUACGUACUGGCAUUGUUGGUUUCUCCCUUCUGACGAACCAUGAUGUCAUUUAUUUGGUGUUGUGGGGAAUCAGGACUGUUACUUUGGAAAAAUUAGAGUGUUUAAAGCAGGCUCACGCUUGAAUACAUUAGCAUGGAAUAAUGAAAUAGGACGUUUGAUUCUAUUUUGUUGGUUUCUAGGAUCGACGUAAUGAUUAAUAGGGAUAGUUGGGGGCAUUAGUAUUCAAUUGUCAGAGGUGAAAUUCUUGGAUUUAUUGAAGACUAACUACUGCGAAAGCAUUUGCCAAGGAUGUUUUCAUUAAUCAAGAACGAAAGUUAGGGGAUCGAAGACGAUCAGAUACCGUCGUAGUCUUAACCAUAAACUAUGCCGACUAGGGAUCGGAUGAUGUUAAUUCUUUAAUGACUCAUUCGGCGCCUUACG